rnacentral:rRNA from 1 species
AGCAGCCGCGGUAAUUCCAGCUCCAAUAGCGUAUAUUAAAGUUGUUGCAGUUAAAAAGCUCGUAGUUGAAUUUCGGGGUUAGUAGGUUGGUCAUGCCUCUGGUAUGUACUGGUCUCACUGAUUCCUCCUUCCUGAUGAACCUUAAUGCCAUUAAUUUGGUGUUUUGGGGAAUUUGGACUGUUACUUUGAAAAAAUUAGAGUGUUUAAAGCAAGCUAACGCUUGAAUACAUUAGCAUGGAAUAAUGAAAUAGGACGUUCGAUCCUAUUUUGUUGGUUUCUAGGAUUGACGUAAUGAUUAAUAGGGAUAGUUGGGGGCAUUAGUAUUCAAUUGUCAGAGGUGGAAUUCUUGGAUUUAUUGAAGACUAACUACUGCGAAAGCAUUUGCCAAGGAUGUUUUCAUUAAUCAAGAACGAAAGUUAGGGGAUCGAAGACGAUCAGAUACCGUCGUAGUCUUAACCAUAAACUAUGCCGACUAGGGAUCGGAUGAUGUUAAUUUUUUAAUGACUCAUUCGGCGCCUUACG